rnacentral:lncRNA from 1 species
UCAAACAUCGGAAUUUCAAUCAGAGUCCCUUACAGUACGACUAAAACGCAUGAACGCCCCUCCACGUGCGAUCUCACGCGAAACGGUACAUAAAAUAUCGCGACUUUUGCGAAAAUACCGUUUUGCCAACACCGACCUCUCCUCGAUCAACGUGCGAUCUCCGUAGAUCCGUCCGUCAGAUUUGCGAACGGAUUGUACCAGUGCGAUUACCACCUCGGAGACAACAAAGCUACGAUUUUGGUUCACCUCGAUCGACCACGGAUUCGCGACGAAAUCCAACCUUUCAUUCCAACAGAAUGAAUAACACAAAAAUACAUAUAAAACAUGUAUUUUUGGAUUUUCUCAAAAUCCGUGCGUCAAACUCAAAAUCCGUCAGCGCCAUUAGUUCCAGAACAGCUGAACCGAUCGAAACGAGCUAUUGGACCGCUAGGAACGGAGUCCGAUACGAGCCUGAAGCCAACUUCACACCGUGGCUUCUCCGGAAAAUCGAGUUACUAUUCACUUUAAGUGAAACUUGGAAAUCGCGUAAAAUCUCCAUUUUAACUCGAUUUCUCCCGAAACUUGACGAGUGCUUUUGUAAUUAAAUUACACACAAAAACAUCGUCAACUGAGAGUUUAGCUACACUGCAAAAAUCUCAGUCCUUACAUUC